rnacentral:rRNA from 1 species
CUAGUGUAGCAGUGAAAUGCGUAGAUAUUAGGAAGAACACCGAUGGCGUAGGCAGGCGACUGGGGUAUUUCUGACGCUAAGGCACGAAAGCGUGGGUAGCGAACCGGAUUAGAUACCCGGGUAGUCCACGCCGUAAACGAUGGAUGCUAAUUGUUUGAGGUAUCAACCCCUUGGGUAAUAAAGCUAACGCGUUAAGCAUCCCGCCUGUGGAGUACGGCCGCAAGGCUAAAACAUAAAGGAAUUGACGGGGACCCGCACAAGCGGUGGAGGAUGUUCUUUAAUUCGAUGUUAAGCGAAGAACCUUACCAGGGCUUGACAUCCCUAGAAUUUUCUCGAAAGAGAAAAGUGCCUUCGGGAACUAGGUGACAGAUCCUGCAUGGCCGUCGUCAGCUCGUGUCGUGAGAUGUUUGGUUAAGUCCAUCAACGAGCGCAACCCUUGUCGUCAGUUGUAUUUUUCUGGCGAGACUGCCCCGGUAACGGGGAGGAAGGAGGGGAUGAUGUCAGGUCAGUAUUGGUCUUACGUCCUGGGCUAGAAACGUCCUACAAUGGCCGGUACAAUGGGCAGCCAACCCGCGAGGGGGAGCAAAUCCCAUCAAAACCGGUCCCAGUUCGGAUUGCAGGCUGAAACUCGCCUGCAUGAAGUCGGAAUCGCUAGUAAUCGCGCAUCAGCCAUGGCGCGGUGAAUACGUUCCCGGGCCUUGUACACACCGCCCGUCAAGCCAUGGGAGUCGGNNNUGCCUGAAGUCCGCGACCGGAAGGAGCGGCCAAGGGCAAGACCGGUGACUGGGGCUAAGUCGUAACAAGGUAACCA